CACAAAAAUAUAAACCCAAAUCCAAUAGUCAACCCUAAUUUUCCAUAUAAUAAACUCAAAUUUCGAAAUGCCAGUAAAAUGCAAUACCAUUCUACAUGAGGCAUAUAGAAUAGAAAAUAUGAAAAUGUAGUUGCAAUCUGAAGAUCAUCUUAACAUAUUUUUCAAAUGUUGAUAUGGCUAUGCCUUCAUGGAAAGUGGUAAUGCUUGCCCCAACGUCAACCCCAAUAGUACAUAAACUAAACCCUAUCAACUAAUCACUAAACCCUACACAGAAAU
rnacentral:lncRNA from 1 species